CAGCCGCCGCGGUAAUACGGAGGGUGCAAGCGUUAAUCGGAAUUACUGGGCGUAAAGCGCACGCAGGCGGUCUGUCAAGUCGGAUGUGAAAUCCCCGGGCUCAACCUGGGAACUGCAUUCGAAACUGGCAGGCUAGAGUCUUGUAGAGGGGGGUAGAAUUCCAGGUGUAGCGGUGAAAUGCGUAGAGAUCUGUAGGAAUACCGGUGGCGAAGGCGGCCCCCUGGACAAAGACUGACGCUCAGGUGCGAAAGCGUGGGGAGCAAACAGGAUUAGAUACCCCGGUAGUCCCUGUCUCUUAUAC
rnacentral:rRNA from 1 species